CCUCCUGGAAACGGGUGGUAAUGCCGGAUGUUCCACAUGAUCGCAUGUGAUUGUGGGAAAGAUUCUAUCGGCGUGGGAUGGGGUCGCGUCCUAUCAGCUUGUUGGUGAGGUAACGGCUCACCAAGGCUUCGACGGGUAGCCGGCCUGAGAGGGCGACCGGCCACAUUGGGACUGAGAUACGGCCCAGACUCCUACGGGAGGCAGCAGUGGGGAAUAUUGCACAAUGGGCGCAAGCCUGAUGCAGCGACGCCGCGUGAGGGAUGGAGGCCUUCGGGUUGUAAACCUCUUUUGUUUGGGAGCAAGCCUUCGGGUGAGUGUACCUUUCGAAUAAGCGCCGGCUAACUACGUGCCAGCAGCCGCGGUAAUACGUAGGGCGCAAGCGUUAUCCGGAUUUAUUGGGCGUAAAGGGCUCGUAGGCGGCUCGUCGCGUCCGGUGUGAAAGUCCAUCGCUUAACGGUGGAUCUGCGCCGGGUACGGGCGGGCUGGAGUGCGGUAGGGGAGACUGGAAUUCCCGGUGUAACGGUGGAAUGUGUAGAUAUCGGGAAGAACACCA
rnacentral:rRNA from 1 species